rnacentral:rRNA from 1 species
GACGAACGCUGGCGGCGUGCCUAAUACAUGCAAGUAGAACGCUGAAGGAGGAGCUUGCUUCUCUGGAUGAGUUGCGAACGGGUGAGUAACGCGUAGGUAACCUGCCUGGUAGCGGGGGAUAACUAUUGGAAACGAUAGCUAAUACCGCAUAAGAGUAGAUGUCGCAUGACAUUUGCUUAAAAGGUGCAAUUGCAUCACUACCAGAUGGACCUGCGUUGUAUUAGCUAGUUGGUGAGGUAACGGCUCACCAAGGCAACGAUACAUAGCCGACCUGAGAGGGUGAUCGGCCACACUGGGACUGAGACACGGCACAGACUCCUACGGGAGGCAGCAGUAGGGAAUCUUCGGCAAUGGACGGAAGUCUGACCGAGCAACGCCGCGUGAGUGAAGAAGGUUUUCGGAUCGUAAAGCUCUGUUGUAAGAGAAGAACGAGUGUGAGAGUGGAAAGUUCACACUGUGACGGUAUCUUACCAGAAAGGGACGGCUAACUACGUG